UACGGAGGGUGCAAGCGUUGUUCGGAAUCACUGGGCGUAAAGGGCGUGUAGGCGGCCCGCUAAGUCUGAUGUGAAAUCCCCUCGCUCAACGAGGGAACUGCGUCGGAAACUGGCGGACUCGAGUACCGGAGAGGAAGGUGGAAUUCCCGGUGUAGCGGUGAAAUGCGUAGAUAUGUGGAGGAACACCUGUGGCGAAGGCGCCUUGCUGGCCAAUUUCUGACGCUGAGGCGCGAAAGCGUGGGGAGCAAACAGG
rnacentral:rRNA from 1 species